rnacentral:rRNA from 1 species
AUUGAACGCUGGCGGCAGGCUUAACACAUGCAAGUCGAGCGAGCGGCGGACGGGUGAGUAAUGUCUGGGAAACUGCCUGCUGGAGGGGGAUAACUACUGGAAACGGUAGCUAAUACCGCAUACCAUCAGAUGUGCCCAGAUGGGAUUAGCGUGUAGGUGGGGUAAUGGCUCACCUAGGCGACGAGCCCUAGCAGGUCUGAGAGGAUGACCCGCCACAUUGGAACUAAGACACGGUGCAUACUCCUACGGGAGGCAGUAUUGGGGAAUAUUGCACAAUGGGCGCAAGCCUGAUGCAGCCAUGCCGCGUGUGUGAAGAAGGCCUUCGGGUUGUAAAGCACUGUCAGCGAGGAGGCGUUACUCGCAGAAGAAGCACCGGCUAACUCCGUGCCAGCAGCCGCGGUAAUUC